rnacentral:rRNA from 1 species
GUCAUAGUGAUCCGGUGGUUCUGAAUGGAAGGGCCAUCGCUCAACGGAUAAAAGGUACUCCGGGGAUAACAGGCUGAUACCGCCCAAGAGUUCAUAUCGACGGCGGUGUUUGGCACCUCGAUGUCGGCUCAUCACAUCCUGGGGCUGAAGUAGGUCCCAAGGGUAUGGCUGUUCGCCAUUUAAAGUGGUACGCGAGCUGGGUUUAGAACGUCGUGAGACAGUUCGGUCCCUAUCUGCCGUGGGCGCUGGAGAACUGAGGGGGGCUGCUCCUAGUACGAGAGGACCGGAGUGGACGCAUCACUGGUGUUCGGGUUGUCAUGCCAAUGGCACUGCCCGGUAGCUAAAUGCGGAAGAGAUAAGUGCUGAAAGCAUCUAAGCACGAA